rnacentral:rRNA from 1 species
GGGCUCAAAUGUAUGUUGACGUAUUCUGAAAGGGAUACUUCUUCGGACAAUAUACAAGGUGCUGCAUGGUUGUCGUCAGCUCGUGCCGUGAGGUGUCGGGUUAAGUCCCAUAACGAGCGCAACCCCUACCUUUAGUUGCCAUCAGGUUAAGCUGGGGACUCUAAAGGAACUGCCUACGCAAGUAGUGAGGAAGCGGGGAUGACGUCAAAUCAGCACGGCCCUUACGUCCAGGGCUACACACGUGCUACAAUGGCCGAUACAGAGGGCAGCUACCUGGUGACAGGAUGCAAAUCUCCAAAGUCGGUCUCAGUUCGGAUCGGAGUCUGCAACCCGACUCCGUGAAGUUGGAUUCGCUAGUAAUCGCGCAUCAGCCAUGGCGCGGUGAAUACGUUCCCGGGCCUU